CAUUUAAGCUUAGUGGCGGACGGGUGGAGUAACGCGUGAGCAACCUGCCCUCGAGUGGGGAAGUAACAUCGAGAAAUCGGUGCUAAUACCGCAUAAAGUCGAGAGACCGCAUGAUCUUUCGACCAAAGGAUUUAUUCGCUUGAGGAUGGGCUCGCGUCCGAUUAGCUAGUUGGUGAGGUAACGGCCACCAAGGCAACGAUCGGUAGCCGAACUGAGAGGUUGAUCGGCCACAUUGGGACUGAGACACGGCCCAGACUCCUACGGGAGGCAGCAGUGGGGAAUAUUGGGCAAUGGGCGAAAGCCUGACCCAGCAACGCCGCGUGAAGGAUGAAGGUCUUCGGAUUGUAAACUUCUUUGAUUGGGGAAGAAUAAAUGACCUACCCAAAGAACAAGCCACGGCUAACUACGUGCCAGCAGCGGC
rnacentral:rRNA from 1 species